UACGAAGGGGGCUAGCGUUGCUCGGAAUCACUGGGCGUAAAGCGCACGUAGGCGGAUCUUUAAGUCAGGGGUGAAAUCCUGGAGCUCAACUCCAGAACUGCCUUUGAUACUGGGAUCUCGAGUCCGGGAGAGGUGAGUGGAACUGCGAGUGUAGAGGUGAAAUUCGUAGAUAUUCGCAAGAACACCAGUGGCGAAGGCGGCUCACUGGCCCGGUACUGACGCUGAGGUGCGAAAGC
rnacentral:rRNA from 1 species